GACGAACGCUGGCGGCGCGCCUAACACAUGCAAGUCGAACGGAGCUGAGAGAAGCUUGCUUUUCUUAGCUUAGUGGCGAACGGGUGAGUAACGCGUGAGUAACCUGCCCUGGAGUGGGGGACAACAGUUGGAAACGACUGCUAAUACCGCAUAAGCCCACGAUCCGGCAUCGGAUUGAGGGAAAAGGAUUUAUUCGCUUCAGGAUGGACUCGCGUCCAAUUAGCUAGUUGGUGAGGUAACGGCCCACCAAGGCGACGAUUGGUAGCCGGACUGAGAGGUUGAACGGCCACAUUGGGAAUGAGACACGGCCCAGACUCCUACGGGAGGCAGCAGUGGGGGAUAUUGCACAAGGGGGGAAACCCUGAUGCAGCGACGCCGCGUGGAGGAAGAAGGUUUUCGGAUUGUAAACUCCUGUCGUGAGGGACGAUAAUGACGGUACCUAACAAGAAAGCACCGGCUAACUACGUG
rnacentral:rRNA from 1 species